CAGGCCUAACACAUGCAAGUCGAACGAUGGCCUUCGGGUCAUAGUGGCGCACGGGUGCGUAACGCGUGGGAAUCUGCCCUUGGGUUCGGAAUAACAGUUGGAAACGACUGCUAAUACCGGAUGAUGACGUAAGUCCAAAGAUUUAUCGCCCAAGGAUGAGCCCGCGUCAGAUUAGCUAGUUGGUGGGGUAAAGGCCUACCAAGGCGACGAUCUGUAGCUGGUCUGAGAGGAUGAUCAGCCACACUGGGACUGAGACACGGCCCAGACUCCUACGGGAGGCAGCAGUGGGGAAUAUUGGACAAUGGGCGAAAGCCUGAUCCAGCAAUGCCGCGUGAGUGAUGAAGGCCUUAGGGUUGUAAAGCUAUUUUACCCGGGAUGAUAAUGACAUGA
rnacentral:rRNA from 1 species